rnacentral:rRNA from 1 species
ACUGGCGGCGUGCCUAAUACAUGCAAGUCGAGCGAAUGAAUGGGAGCUUGCUCCCUGAAGUUAGCGGCGGACGGGUGAGUAACACGUGGGCAACCUGCCUGUAAGACUGGGAUAACUUCGGGAAACCGGAGCUAAUACCGGAUAACUUCUUUCCUCGCAUGGGGAAAGGUUAAAAGACGGUUUUGCUGUCACUUACAGAUGGGCCCGCGGCGCAUUAGCUAGUUGGUGAGGUAACGGCUCACCAAGGCGACGAUGCGUAGCCGACCUGAGAGGGUGAUCGGCCACACUGGGACUGAGACACGGCCCAGACUCCUACGGGAGGCAGCAGUAGGGAAUCUUCCACAAUGGACGAAAGUCUGACGGAGCAACGCCGCGUGAGUGA